GUGAGUGUGAAUGCAAGAAAGUUGAAAACAUUGGGAAAAAGGGGGUGUGAUUUUUCUUCUCUAGCAUCCCACGUAUCCCAUCCCAAUUGUCCAAAUUUCUUAUCUUCUUUUGUGCCCGAAAAGUCUUCUCCUUAUCCUAUUUUCCUAGCUGCAUCAGAUCAGAAAGUCCAGCCCUCUUUCUCUACUCUUUUUUCUUUGUUUUUGUUUUUCUUCUCUCUUUGCUCUUACACGGCAGCCUUCCCUCUCUUACCAAAACAAUUUAUCCCUCUCUAAAGAAGAAAUUAAAAGGUUAACACUAAAAUUUCAGCUUCAAAGUUGUGGGUGGUGAGAACGAGAACGAGAACACAACCACUUGAGCUUCUCUUGUAUAAUCUUUUGCGCCUUCCGUUUACAGUGCAUAGGUUCUUCCUGGAAGCAGUGAGAGUAUUAGAGGUGGCAAGGAUUCUGUGUUUUCUCAUUUUGUUAGAAUGUAGAGUUUUGUUGUAUAGUAGUUAGCUCUUUUGUUGUAUAGGAGGAAUCAAGAUGUACUUGAUCCUUUGAGCACAUAUGUAAUUCGGUACCUUAGUUUGUUUUGAACCCCAGUUGUAUGUCUUUGGGUUUAGGUUUGUAAUAAGAGUUUUGCUAAAUGUUUAGUUAUGUAAUAUUUACAUGUAUACCUUAAGUUUCAGCCAGGUGGUAUUUUUCCAAGUUCGAAGGAAAUGAAAUUUGAAGGUUGCCAUCAUUUUUGUA